rfam:Neotoma lepida isolate 417 scaffold_1206, whole genome shotgun sequence.
GGGGAGUUAGCUCAAAUGGUAGAGCACUCGCUUAGCAUGUGAGAGGUUGCGGGAUCGAUGCCUGCAUUCUCCA